rnacentral:rRNA from 1 species
UGGGGAAUUUUGGACAAUGGACGACNNUCUGAUCCAGCCAUGCCGCGUGCGGGAAGAAGGCCUUCGGGUUGUAAACCGCUUUUGUCAGGGAAGAAAUCCUUUGAGCUAAUACCUCGGGGGGAUGACGGUACCUGAAGAAUAAGCACCGGCUAACUACGUGCCAGCAGCCGCGGUAAUACGUAGGGUGCAAGCGUUAAUCGGAAUUACUGGGCGUAAAGCGUGCGCAGGCGGUUAUGUAAGACAGAGGUGAAAUCCCCGGGCUCAACCUGGGAACUGCCUUUGUGACUGCAUAGCUUGAGUGCGGCAGAGGGGGAUGGAAUUCCGCGUGUAGCAGUGAAAUGCGUAGAUAUGCGGAGGAACACCGAUGGCGAAGGCAAUCCCCUGGGCCUGCACUGACGCUCAUGCACGAAAGCGUGGGGAGCAAACAGGAUUAGAUACCCUGGUAGUCCACGCCCUAAACGAUGUCAACUGGUUGUUGGGAAGGUUCCUUCUCAGUAACGUAGCUAACGCGUGAAGUUGACCGCCUGGGGAGUACGGCCGCAAGGUUG